rnacentral:ncRNA from 1 species
CAGCCAACCCCGGGGAGCCAGCAGAGUCUUCGUGCUUUGGGCUGAGAGGGGCAGGUUGCGCUGCCCGACCCGUCGAACCUGAACCGAUUAGCAUCGGCGGAGGGAGUGGGCGGCACAUGCCAA